ACACACCAGGGUAGCAAGCACAAGGACCUUGGUUCAAAACCCAGUACUACCAAAAAGGAAAGUAAUGGGAAAAAUGAAAACAAAUUAUACCAUAGUAGCUGCUGUCCCACAUUCCUUGAGGGACCCCAGGAUCCCUGGCAUGCUUCUUACCUAGCACCUCAAAGACUGGCAUGAGCACAAUCAGGAAAGCCUAACACCCUGCUGUGUUCUGUUUCUUCAGUGUGCAGUACUUCUGAUUAAAUCCUGUAAUUUCACCCCAGCUUAUAUUUUAAUAUGUAAUCAUAAAGGCAAGGCAUCUUAUCCAUUAUCAAGUCCAGUAACUCAGUUAUACAAGCCAAGUCUUAACAGAUAGAGAUUAAGAGACCAGUCCCAGGUCAUCCCAUAGCACUAGCCAGGCCCCUCACCUUCCUGGGCAGGAGAUUUUUGGCUGUCCUGUAGUGGUAAUUAAAUCUUCUUCUCUCCAUUCUUGUUUGAUUAUGUUUUGGACAAGUAAGAUCAGAAGAGAAGCUACUUCAGUUCUGUUGUGCAAAUAUUUAUUGUCUAGCACUGAUACUGUGAUAGAGCACAAGGAAUGCACAAGUAUUUUAACGCACUGUUAGAAAUCCUGUACAUCUCUAUCCAGUACAAAUAAAUAGCAGUGCCAGGCAACAGAUUAUUUGGUACCCAAACAGUGUGCAAUGAAGACUAUUAGUGGGGGAGGGACUGGGGAGAUUGAUGAAAAGGGUGACAUUCAUCAGAAUGCAACCUGUUCACAAACUCACAUGUUGAAUUGAAACCUCUUUGUAUAACUACUUAAGGAUAACAUAAUAGGUAAUAAUAGUAAUAAAAGACUUAUCAGUGCUUCAAAGAAUAUAAGAGGAAUGGAUAAAGACAUAAGUGGGUGGAUGGAUAGGAUUUGGGGGACUUGAGUCCUGACACAUACCCUUUCUUCUCCAAAAGCUUAGCUCUUCAAUUAGAAAUUGCUGUUGUUUUAACUUCAAAAGUGUAAGACAAAUGUGCUUUAUUUACUACCUAUUCACCCAGUUUCUCCUGGAAGUUUUGAGUAAUAGUAUUGCUUGAAGUUUUCCCUUCAUAAGAAAAAAAGUUAAAAUCUGUGAAUCAUUACUCCAUCUUAAAUCUGAUAUUGAUAUGGAAAAAUAAAAAAGGGAGCUCAGGUAGGUAAAUGAUUCAGAACUUCUUUCUCUCUAUACUAGUGAGUUAUUGUAACCCUCACACUAGCAUACCAGAUUUCUUCACUGUCUUAUCUUUUUCUUUCUCUCCUCCAUCUAAUGCCUAAACUGAAAGAGAUUAAUUUCUUCCUUUUACUCUCCUAGCAAAGGUUGGUGUAAUAACAGAUGUUGACUAUCUAGAACAGCUGAUAUUUCCUACUGCCUAUAAAAAGGGUCUUAAGAUAUUUAAAGUGUAUGUAAAUGGUACCCAUAGAAACAGGAGAAGGGAAGAAGUAAUCCUCUUGUGCUCUUGAGGAUAUUCCUCAUUUGCAGGCAUAGAAGAGGUUACUGAAAGGUUAUCUUGCUUCUCAGAGGCAGUUUUUAUGUAGGUUCAUUGGAGUAAAGAUCUGAAGGUUAUCUGAAAUGGAUGGUAGCUCAGAUGACACAGUAAAAAGGAAGUAAAUAUUAAAUUGAAGACAUACAGAAAAAAUACACAUAGGGGAAAUGUGCAUUUUUAUCUUCCUAGGAAAGCUAUGCAAGUUGGUAGUUCCUUUUGAAGGUAGACGAUAUGAAAGUGAAUUUGAUUUGCUCUGGUUCUUGGUCAGUGCUCCAUUACCAGUCACAUUAGCUUUUCAUGGAAGCCCAUGGAAUUCAAAGGGAAGAGCACACAUUAGGAUAUGUACUGUCUGGUAACAUUCUCAUGAACAUCUGUUUGGUUUAAUAAUUUUCAGAACAGAUCCCCAAAAAUGAUACCCCAAAAAGGUUGUCUCAACAAACACAAAGAAUUGGGUGAGAAUAUUUCACUGUCAUUCCUCUUAGGUCAUACCUGAAGUACAAACUACACCCUGCUCCUGUUAACUGACCCAUUAGCAUAUGCUUGUUACAUGUGUGCCAUUUUGUAUGGAUUAUUACAUUAUAUCUUUACAACAGUGCUGUGAAGUAAGUUAUCAUCACCUCACUUCAGGGGUACAGACACUGAGAGUUACAUCAACUCCAAGGCAAAUGAAUGGGAGCAUGGUUGGACUCCAAGUACUGGGCUCUAGAGCCACAGGUUUGAAUCCACUGAACAGCCCCAACAACUGACAUGGUUGUUACCCUUGGUUCUAAUGCAUGCUAUGGUCCCAUUAGUGAGACUGGUGUGUAUUCCAACUCAAGCACCUAGGAUAUAAAAAGAGCUGACAAAGGAAAAACACUGGAAGUUUUUAGGUGCACCUUAAAAUCAAAACAAAACACAGUUCUACCUAAAAAAGCUGAGAAAAGUCCCACUGUCAAUAAUCAGAUCCUAAGAUAUUCUCAGGUCUUUGUACAGAGAAC